CCUGCUCAGGAUGAACGCUGGCGGCGUGCCUAAUACAUGCAAGUCGAGCGCGAGAUUGAGGAGCUUGCUCCUCAUGAUCGAGCGGCGGACGGGUGAGUAACACGUAGGCAACCUACCCUUGAGAUUGGGAUAACUACCGGAAACGGUAGCUAAUACCGGAUACGACUUUCCUGCAUAAGCAGCUAAGUUAAAAGGCGGAUUUAUCUGCCGCUCAUGGAUGGGCCUGCGGUGCAUUAGCUAGUGGUGAGAUAGUGGCUCACCGAAGGCGACGAUGCAUAGCCGACCUAGGG
rnacentral:rRNA from 1 species